rnacentral:rRNA from 1 species
AUUGAACGCUGGCGGCAUGCCUUACACAUGCAAGUCGAACGGUAACGGGCCUUCGGGUGCCGACGAGUGGCGAACGGGUGAGUAAUGUAUCGGAACGUACCUUUCAGUGGGGGAUAACGUAGCGAAAGUUACGCUAAUACCGCAUAUUCUGUGAGCAGGAAAGCAGGGGAUCGCAAGACCUUGCGCUGAUUGAGCGGCCGAUAUCAGAUUAGCUAGUUGGUGAGGUAAAGGCUCACCAAGGCGACGAUCUGUAGCGGGUCUGAGAGGAUGAUCCGCCACACUGGAACUGAGACACGGUCCAGACUCCUACGGGAGGCAGCAGUGGGGAAUUUUGGACAAUGGGGGCAACCCUGAUCCAGCCAUGCCGCGUGAGUGAAGAAGGCCUUCGGUUGUAAGACGUCUUUCGGUCAGGAAGAAA